GUGUACCUACGGGGCGCAGCAGUGGGGAAUAUUGCACAAUGGGCGAAAGCCUGAUGCAGCGACGCCGCGUGAAGGAUGAAGUAUUUCGGUAUGUAAACCUCUAUCAGCAGGGAAGAAAAUGACGGUACCUGACUAAGAAGCCCCGGCUAACUACGUGCCAGCAGCCGCGGUAAUACGUAGGGGGCAAGCGUUAUCCGGAUUUACUGGGUGUAAAGGGAGCGUAGACGGCGAUGCAAGCCAGAUGUGAAAGCCCGGGGCUCAAGCCCGGGACUGCAUUCGGAACUGUGUGGCUGGAGUGUCGGAGG
rnacentral:rRNA from 1 species